GCCUCGUUAGCUCAGUUGGUAGAGCGUUAGACUUUUAAUCUAGCGGUUAGGGGUUCGACUCCCCUACGAGCUA
rnacentral:tRNA from 1 species